UCGGUUUCGCCCUAACGGAGCCUUGUGCCUAACAGUCUGCUUUCAUGGCAGGCGACGCUUGAUUGAUGCUGGGAGAAGAUUCCAUCGGAGCUCAACCAGCAGCCGUUAUGCCCGCAUUUCGGCUCACAGAUCAUCUUCAGGCGGUCUCCCCUUCCCGAGGGAUUAAGAUAUGACCGGUUCCACUUGGUAACGGGUGGAAGGCUUGUUCCGUAGGUGAACAGGUUUGCCUACCGCAUUCAUGAAAUGCGCGGUCUGCACCGACGUUAUGGUGCAGGCAACAUCGUCCAAAUGCUGAGCGUGCCCGGCGGAAGCUUAGAACAAUCAGCAGCCAGUGCCCGUCGUCGGCCUGGUGCACAGAUCAACCGACGAUGACCUGUAGAGGUUGAGAUAUGAUCGGUCCCGGCCUGGAAGAGGCCUUGGAGACGCGGAACCUGCGGAAGGAUCAUUACCGA
rnacentral:rRNA from 1 species